rnacentral:rRNA from 1 species
UGGGGAAUAUUGGACAAUGGGCGCAAGCCUGAUCCAGCCAUGCCGCGUGUGUGAAGAAGGCCUUCGGGUUGUAAAGCACUUUUGUCCGGAAAGAAAUCCAAUCGAUUAAUACUCGGUUGGGAUGACGGUACCGGAAGAAUAAGCACCGGCUAACUUCGUGCCAGCAGCCGCGGUAAUACGAAGGGUGCAAGCGUUACUCGGAAUUACUGGGCGUAAAGCGUGCGUAGGUGGUUUGUUAAGUCUGAUGUGAAAGCCCUGGGCUCAACCUGGGAACGGCAUUGGAUACUGGCUUACUAGAGUGCGGUAGAGGGUAGUGGAAUUCCCGGUGUAGCAGUGAAAUGCGUAGAUAUCGGGAGGAACAUCUGUGGCGAAGGCGACUACCUGGACCAGCACUGACACUGAGGCACGAAAGCGUGGGGAGCAAACA